UACGUAGGGGGCUAGCGUUAUCCGGAAUUACUGGGCGUAAAGGGUGCGUAGGUGGUUUCUUAAGUCAGAGGUGAAAGGCUACGGCUCAACCGUAGUAAGCCUUUGAAACUGGGAAACUUGAGUGCAGGAGAGGAGAGUGGAAUUCCUAGUGUAGAGGUGAAAUGCGUAGAUAUUAGGAGGAACACCAGUUGCGAAGGCGGCUCUCUGGACUGUAACUGACACUGAGGCACGAAAGCGUGGGGAGCAAACAGG
rnacentral:rRNA from 1 species